UGGGGUCUUACACAGAAAGCAGAGCUGU
rnacentral:piRNA from 1 species